AUUGAACGCUGGCGGCAGGCCUAACACAUGCAAGUCGAGCGGUAGAGAGGUGCUUGCAUCUCUUGAGAGCGGCGGACGGGUGAGUAAUGCCUAGGAAUCUGCCUAGUGGUGGGGGAUAACGUUCGGAAACGGACGCUAAUACCGCAUACGUCCUACGGGAGAAAGCGGGGGAUCUUCGGACCUCGCGCCAUUAGAUGAGCCGUAGGUCGGAUUAGCUAGUUGGUGAGGUAAUGGCUCACCAAGGCGACGAUCCGUAACUGGUCUGAGAGGAUGAUCAGUCACACUGGAACUGAGACACGGUCCAGACUCCUACGGGAGGCAGCAGUGGGGAAUAUUGGACAAUGGGCGAAAGCCUGAUCAGCCAUGCCGCGUGUGUGAAGAAGGUCUUCGGAUUGUAAAGCACUUUAAGUUGGGAGGAAGGGUAGUAACCUAAUACGUUGCUACUUUGACGUUA
rnacentral:rRNA from 1 species